UACGGGGGGGGGCAAGCGUUGUUCGGAAUUACUGGGCGUAAAGGGCUCGUAGGCGGCCAACUAAGUCGGAUGUGAAAUCCCCAGGCUUAACCUGGGAACUGCAUCCGAUACUGGACGGCUGGAGUUUGGGAGAGGGAUGUAGAAUUCCAGGUGUAGCGGUGAAAUGCGUAGAUAUCUGGAGGAAUACCGGUGGCGAAGGCGGCAUCCUGGACCAAUACUGACGCUGAGGCGCGAAAGCUAGGGGAGCAAACGGG
rnacentral:rRNA from 1 species